rnacentral:rRNA from 1 species
CAGUAGCCCGGGAAUACGGAGGGUGCAAGCGUUAAUCGGAAUUACUGGGCGUAAAGCGCACGCAGGCGGUCUGACAAGUCAGAUGUGAAAUCCCCGGGCUUAACCUGGGAACUGCAUUUGAAACUGUCAGGCUGGAGUCUUGUAGAGGGGGGUGGAAUUCCAGGUGUAGCGGUGAAAUGCGUAGAGAUCUGGAGGAAUACCGGUGGCGAAGGCGGCCCCCUGGACAAAGACUGACGCUCAGGUGCGAAAGCGUGGGGAGCAAACAGGAUUAGAUACCCCGUUAGUCCCUGUCUCUUAUACA